rnacentral:SRP_RNA from 1 species
GCCGGGCGCGGUGGCGGGCGCCUGUAGUCCUAGCUACUCAGGAGGCUGAGGCAGGAGAAUGGCGUGAACCCAGGAGGCGGAGCUUGCAGUGAGCGGAGAUCGCGCCACUGCACUCCAGCCUGGGCAACAGCGUGAGACUCUGUCUCAA